AUUGAACGCUGGCGGCAUGCCUUACACAUGCAAGUCGAACGGCAGCGGGCCUUCGGGUGCCGGCGAGUGGCGAACGGGUGAGUAAUGCAUCGGAACGUGCCAUUGAGUGGGGGAUAACGUAGCGAAAGUUACGCUAAUACCGCAUAUUCUGUGAGCAGGAAAGCAGGGGACCGCAAGGCCUUGCGCUCUUUGAGCGGCCGAUAUCAGAUUAGCUAGUUGGUGGGGUAAAGGCCUACCAAGGCAACGAUCUGUAGUUGGUCUGAGAGGACGACCAGCCACACUGGGACUGAGACACGGCCCAGACUCCUACGGGAGGCAGCAGUGGGGAAUUUUGGACAAUGGGCGCAAGCCUGAUCCAGCAAUGCCGCGUGCAGGAAGAAGGCCUUCGGGUUGUAACUAGCUUUGUUCAGGGAAGAAA
rnacentral:rRNA from 1 species